GCCGGAGUGGUGAAAUUGGUAGACGCAGGGGACUCAAAAUCCCCCGCCCGCGAGGGCGUGCCGGUUCGAUUCCGGCCUCCGGCACCA
rnacentral:tRNA from 1 species